ensembl:lncRNA
AGACACCAACCACUGAGGAGGCUUAUUUGUUUUCGUGUCUCCAGAACGUCUUGUUUCUGCAGAGGAUGAGACUCUACGAGAAUCUCAAUUUCAGUGCAGCAGAUUGGAGACAGACGAGCUGUCAGGAUGAUGGCAGAGGGAAGGCUGCAGAAAACCCAGAACGUGACUCGGACCACCCACGGAGAGGGCGGCAGGCGGAGGCUUCACGUCUUCAUCAGCGCUCCCCGGUGUCCUGACAGAUGGAGGGAACAGAGCGGCAGCGUUCGGCAGCCGGAGGACGACAACCUACUCUGAAACCACACAAACUGGAGGCCCAAACCUCCAACACAAACACAGUGUGGAGGAGGCAAAUCUGGUGAAGUCGCAAAGCAUGAGCACAUACAGAAGUUUUAACGCUGCUUCUUAACAUAAGAAUCUGAUUUAAUUAGAUUAUUAAGGGACAAAAGAUUUCCUCAUUCAUAGUGUUUCUGUUUAUAACUCAGAUGUUGGAUCGACCCUGUUAGAUUACGGUUAAUUAUCAUGUUUUUCUUCUGUUCUUAAGUUUCCUAUUCUAGAAAGCACAAACACAUCUGUGCAGCUUUCUAUAAAAGCA